CGGACGGGUGAGUAACGCGUGGGUAACCUGCCUUCAAGAGGGGGAUAACAUUCUGAAAAGAAUGCUAAUACCGCAUGACAUAUCGGAACCACAUGGUUUUGAUAUCAAAGAUUUUAUCGCUUGAAGAUGGACUCGCGUCCGAUUAGUUAGUUGGUGAGGUAACGGCUCACCAAGACCGCGAUCGGUAGCCGGACUGAGAGGUUGAACGGCCACAUUGGGACUGAGACACGGCCCAGACUCCUACGGGAGGCAGCAUG
rnacentral:rRNA from 1 species